rnacentral:lncRNA from 12 species
AACACAAGAAACAAGUGAAAGAUGGCCAGAAGCACAUUAAGUGAUGCUACCUCUCCAGUUAUUGGGGUGUCAAAGACUGUGGAGACUCAGUGACUCAGGAGAGAAGGUAGGAGCCUGAGGGAUCCUGAUUCAGAUGCUUCCGAGCAGUUACUAACAGCCAGAAGGACAAAUUCAGGCAAACAAGUAAAUAGCCAAAGAGUUUGCUUGUUGAGGUGGAAACUUUCCCAGCAGAUAUGUGUCCU